rnacentral:tRNA from 1 species
GUUUUGGUAGCUUAACUUAAAAGCGUCGACCUUGUAAGUCGAAGACUGGAGAUGUAAAUUCUCCCCAAAACA